rnacentral:misc_RNA from 1 species
GGAAGGAUCAUUCAUAAUUGAGUGUUUUAUGGCACUCUUUAAAAAAUCCAUAUCCACCUUGUGUGCAACGUUUUUAGACACCCUGGCGCUGAUAUCUCUUUUAAGAGAAGGAAAGCCAGGAUGUAGAUUAACUUAACUCAACUCCUUUAAAACAGUUUGUCUGAAUACCUAUUUCUGAAUAACAUAAUUCAAAAAUACAACUUUCAACAACGGACCUCUUGGCUCUCGCAUCGAUGAAGAACGCAGCGAAAUGCGAUACGUAAUGUGAAUUGCAGAAUUCAGUGAAUCAUCGAAUCUUUGAACGCACAUUGCGCUCUCUGGUAUUCCGGAGAGCAUGCUUGUUGAGUAUCAGUAACACCUCAAUUUCAAGAUUUUCUAUUGUGAAAUUGGACUUGAGCAUAUCCCAACGUGUAUUUAAUUACAUGGAGGGUUGCUUCAAAUGCAGGUGCAGGCGAUCAUUCUUCUGGGCUAAAGCAUUAUCUAGUUAGUCCCGUAAAACGGAUUAUUCAUUUUAUUGCUGCAGCUUACCUUUAUAAAAGGAAGACAUGGUCAUUGUGCUGACUGAUGCAGGAUUUCUCAGAGGGUCUGCAAAGACUUUUUGAAAACUCGAUCUCAAAUCAAGUAAGACUACCCGCUGAACUUAAGCAUAUCAAUAAGCGGAGGAAAAGAAACUAACAAGGAUUCCCCUAGUAACGGCGAGUGAAGCGGGAUGAGCUCAAAUUUAAAAUCUGGCCGGUUUACUGGUCCGAAUUGUAGUUUAAAGAAGCGUUUUCGGUGGCAGCCUGGGUAUAAAUCCUUUGGAAUAGGGUAUCAUAGAGGGUGAGAAUCCCGUCUUUGACUCAGUGCAUGCUACUAUGUGAUACGUUUUCAAAGAGUCGAGUUGUUUGGGAUGCAGCUCAAAAUGGGUGGUAAAUCUCAUCUAAGGCUAAAUAUUGGCGAGAGACCGAUAGCGAACAAGUACCGUGAGGGAAAGAUGAAAAGAACUUUGAAAAGAGAGUUAAACAGUGCGUGAAUUGUUGAAAGGGAAACGUUUGACACCAGUCAUGCGGGUGGAAAAUCAGUCUCUUGUAGUGGGAAGCAUUUUGGUUCAGACCGCAAGGCUGGCCAGGGGUGUUCUCUCUAUUGCGAGUGAUGCACUUUUUCAUUUGCAGGCCAACAUCAGUUUCUUCUGCUGGACAAAACCCUAAGAGAAGGUAGCAGCUUAGGCUGUGUUAUAGCUCUGGGGCGAUACAGUGGAGGGGACUGAGGUUUUCGCAGCGUGUGCUCUCGGGCAAGGCAGAUUGGGUGCUAUGGGAUCGUUCGGCGUACAAUGCAUGCAUUUUGCGCUGUGUCUUUUUUCAUACUCGCUUAACUCUGCUCUUCCACGCUUAGGAUGUUGGCAUAAUGGUUUUAAAACGACCCGUCUUGAAACACGGACCAAGGAGUCUAACAUAUAUGCGAGUGUUUGGGUGGCAAACCCAUACGCGUAAUGAAAGUGAACGUAGGUGCCAUCCGCAAGGUGCAGCAUCGACCGAUCUUGAAUUUUUAGGAUAGAUUUGAGUAAGAGCAUAUAUGCUGGGACCCGAAAGAUGGUGAACUAUGCCUGAAUAGGGUGAAGCAGAGGAAACUCUGGUGGAGGCUCGUAGCGAUUCUGACGUGCAAAUCGAUCGUCAAAUUUGGGUAUAGGGGCGAAAGACUAAUCGAACCAUCUAGUAGCUGGUUCCUGC